rnacentral:rRNA from 1 species
GAUGAACGCUGGCGGCGUGCCUAAUACAUGCAAGUCGAGCGAACAGACGAGGAGCUUGCUCCUCUGACGUUAGCGGCGGACGGGUGAGUAACACGUGGAUAACCUACCUAUAAGACUGGGAUAACUUCGGGAAACCGGAGCUAAUACCGGAUAAUAUAUUGAACCGCAUGGUUCAAUAGUGAAAGACGGUUUUGCUGUCACUUAUAGAUGGAUCCGCGCCGCAUUAGCUAGUUGGUAAGGUAACGGCUUACCAAGGCAACGAUGCGUAGCCGACCGGAUAGGGGGGUAGGCCACACUGGAACUGAGCCACGGUCCAGACUCCUAAGGGAGGCCGCAGUAGGGAAUCUUCGGCAAUGGGCGAAAGCCUGACGGAGCAACGCCGCGUGAGUGAUGAAGGUCUUCGGAUCGUAAAACUCUGUUAUUAGGGAAGAACAAAUGUGUAAGUAACUAUGCACGUCUUGACGGUACCUAAUCAGAAAGCCACGGCUAACUACGUG